rnacentral:rRNA from 1 species
UGGGCCCGAGUUUGAUCCUGGCUCAGAGCGAACGCUGGCGGCAGGCUUAAUACAUGCAAGUCGAGCGCCCGUAGCAAUACGGGAGCGGCAGACGGGUGAGUAACGCGUGGGAACGUACCCUUUGGUUCGGAACAACACAGGGAAACUUGUGCUAAUACCGGAUAAGCCCUUACGGGGAAAGAUUUAUCGCCGAAGGAUCGGCCCGCGUCUGAUUAGCUAGUUGGUGAGGUAACGGCUCACCAAGGCGACGAUCAGUAGCCGGCCUGAGAGGGCGCACGGCCACACUGGAACUGAAACACGGUCCAGACUCCUACGGGAGGCAGCAGUGGGGAAUUUUGCGCAAUGGGGGAAACCCUGACGCAGCAACGCCGCGUGGAGGAUGAAGUCCCUUGGGACGUAAACUCCUUUCGACCGGGACGAUAAUGACGGUACCGGUGGAAGAAGCCCCGGCUAACUUCGUGCCAGCAGCCGCGGUAA